rnacentral:rRNA from 1 species
CUCCCAAACCCCUGUGAACAUCCAAUUGUUGCCUCGGCGGAUCAGCCCGCUCCCGGUAAAACGGGACGGCCCGCCAGAGGACCCCUAAACUCUGUUUCUAUAUGUAACUUCUGAGUAAAACCAUAAAUAAAUCAAAACUUUCAACAACGGAUCUCUUGGUUCUGGCAUCGAUGAAGAACGCAGCAAAAUGCGAUAAGUAAUGUGAAUUGCAGAAUUCAGUGAAUCAUCGAAUCUUUGAACGCACAUUGCGCCCGCCAGUAUUCUGGCGGGCAUGCCUGUUCGAGCGUCAUUUCAACCCUCAAGCCCUCGGGUUUGGUGUUGGGGAUCGGCGAGCCCUUGCGGCAAGCCGGCCCCGAAAUCUAGUGGCGGUCUCGCUGCAGCUUCCAUUGCGUAGUAGUAAAACCCUCGCAACUGGUACGCGGCGCGGCCAAGCCGUUAAACCCCCAACUUCUGAAUGUGACCUCGGAUCAGGUAGGAA